rnacentral:tRNA from 2 species
CUGGCGGUUGGCGCGCUUUCCGCGCUGAGCCUGGCCGAGGCGUCGAUGGCUCGCUGGCCGGCGGGCUGGCAGGUGAGCGACCUGCCCGCCGCGC